CAUGUCUUCGGUCAUCAAGUGAAGUGGGAACCACAUCAUGAGGCUGCAGGUAAGCUUUCUGUCUUGUGCUGUGUAAAAACGCACAGUAUGCCUUGGUGCUAGUCAUUCAGCUUCAGCUGUGUACUUGUAGUGAAUCUAUGAACCAAACAUUGCAAGUUACAUGAUUCAUUCAAUUCAUCUUUCCUCUGAAACACUGUUGAAGCAAAUUAACUGAUUCUUGCAAAUGUAAUGGAAUUGAUGGUUUCCUGUGCCUGGACACAUGGUUGAAUGACUGUCUUUGCUUAUACAGGCAGACACUGCCUAGGUGGAAGCUCUGUGAAGGACGUACGAAAUCAAUGCCCAAGACGGGUGUAUGUAGGGCAACACAUUUUAGUGUUUUAAAAGCAUUUUAAGCAGUAUCUAAAGUUGAGGGUAAUCCCGUACUGCAAGUUAUGAUUUUAUCCUUUGGAAUCUCGUUCGUCUGAAACCCUGUUGAAAGACUUUGAAACUGAUGCUUGCAGAUUUACCUUACCAGUCGUUUGCCAUGUUCAGGGACUUGACUCUCAAAAUAAUGGAGCUUUUCCCUGUUUGCAGAAUAUGCCUGUAAAGAUCCAAGCAGCCAAAUCACGGUGAGUGGCUUUUUUUGUUUUUGGUGUUAUUUGUUUAUUAGCAUGCCAAAUCCCAGUAAAGGUCAUUAUGAUGAAGCUCGCACACGUCUUACACCCAGUCAACUCCAGAACCUGAAAAGGUGAACCCACUGGAGUUGCCUGGGUAAGCAAGGAGAUGACUUGUUGGGGUUACCAACUGUCUGAUAUGACCAGCUGGUUUUGGUUCUGACUAUGAUGUACGAUUUUUAUUGAUCCCCCUUUUAAUAUCUCUUUAUUACUAUUUUUGCAGACCUUGGACCUACUCCUAUGAGUCAUGGCAAUCCCUGACUGGAUUUUAGGUGCCAGUAAAUUGUCCUCACCAUCUGUCAUAAAAUGGUGUCCGUUAACUGAAGGAAAUUGCACCACUUUAUCGGGUAAAGUACUCUGCACACUUUCUAUCUGUUCUUGGUGUGUGACUAUUCUAUGCCUCCUGUGUUUUUUUCCCCCUUGUUUGCCAAAGUGCCUCAAUGAUGAAUCAUUUCCAGAACUCUUUCUUACUGAAUUUCUUUUGAAGAAAUUUCAUUGGAUCUAAGUAUCUAUCUAUCGUUGAUAUUUGUUCGCUUGAUUAGUCAAUUUGGUUGUAUUUUUCUUUUUUUUUUUUUUCAGAGAACUAGAGUACUUCCCCUCAGCAAGGCUGAGAAUAGGUGAGGGCUCAAGUCUUAAACCUGUUAUUCCACAACAUGAUGUAGGAUUAUCUUGUGAUGAACGUAUUGAUCG
rnacentral:lncRNA from 1 species